CCGUAGCCCAAGAGAUCGGGAUAACACCUGGAAACAGAUGCUAAUACCGGAUAACAACAGAUGAUGCCUAUCAACUGUUUAAAAGAUGGUUCUGCUAUCACUCUUGGAUGGACCUGCGGUGCAUUAGCUAGUUGGUAGGGUAACGGCCUACCAAGGCGAUGAUGCAUAGCCGAGUUGAGAGCUGAUCGGCCACAUGGGACUGAGACACGGCCCAAACUCCUACGGGAGGCAGCAGGC
rnacentral:rRNA from 1 species